rnacentral:rRNA from 1 species
AAUGAACGCUGGCGGCAGGCCUAACACAUGCAAGUCGAACGGAUCCUCCGGGAUUAGUGGCGGACGGGUGAGUAACGCGUGGGAACAUACCCUUUGGUACGGAAUAGCCCCGGGAAACUGGGAGUAAUACCGUAGGUGGUCGAGAGACGAAAGAUUUAUCGCCAAAGGAUUGGCCCGCGUUGGAUUAGGUAGUUGGUGGGGUAAUGGCCUACCAAGCCGACGAUCCAUAGCUGGUUUGAGAGGAUGAUCAGCCACACUGGGACUGAGACACGGCCCAGACUCCUACGGGAGGCAGCAGUGGGGAAUCUUAGACAAUGGGGGAAACCCUGAUCUAGCCAUGCCGCGUGAUCGAUGAAGGCCUUAGGGUUGUAAAGAUCUUUCAGGUGGGAAGAUAAUGACUGUACCACCAGAAGAAGCCCCGGCUAACUCCGUGCCAGCCGCCGCGGUAA